CCUACGGGCGGCUGCAGUGGGGAAUAUUGGACAAUGGGCGAAAGCCUGAUCCAGCCAUGCCGCGUGUGUGAAGAAGGCCUUCGGGUUGUAAAGCACUUUCAGUGGGGAAGAAAGCCUUGGGGCUAAUACCCUCGAGGAAGGACAUCACCCACAGAAGAAGCACCGGCUAACUCCGUGCCAGCAGCCGCGGUAAUACCGGAGGGUGCGAGCGUUAAUCGGAAUUACUGGGCGUAAAGCGCGCGUAGGCGGUCUGAUAAGCCGGUUGUGAAAGCCCCGGGCUCAACCUGGGAACGGCAUCCGGAACUGUCAGGCUAGAGUGCAGGAGAGGAAGGUAGAAUUCCCGGUGUAGCGGUGAAAUGCGUAGAGAUCGGGAGUAAUACCAGUGGCGAAGGCGGCCUUCUGGACUGACACUGACGCUGAGGUGCGAAAGCGUGGGUAGCAAACAGGAUUAGAUACCCCGGUAGUC
rnacentral:rRNA from 1 species